CAGUAGCCACGGGAAUACGGAGGGUGCGAGCGUUAAUCGGAAUUACUGGGCGUAAAGCGUACGCAGGCGGUUUGUUAAGUCAGAUGUGAAAUCCCCGAGCUUAACUCAGGAACUGCAUUUGAGACUGGCAGGCUAGAGUCUCGUAGAGGGGGGUAGAAUUCCAGGUGUAGCGGUGAAAUGCGUAGAGAUCUGGAGGAAUACCAGUGGCGAAGGCGGCCUCCUGGACAAAGACUGACGCUCAGGUGCGAAAGCGUGGGGAGCAAACAGGAUUAGAUACCCCAGUAGUCCCUGUCUCUUAUAC
rnacentral:rRNA from 1 species